AGCCCAAAUUUCUCUGAAUACCAAACCUUAAAUUUUUUGUAGCAGUAGUCUACCUAUAUUGAUUUUAUUAUAAACUUGAUUUUGAUACUUAGGACUAACCUUACAUCACAAUUAUUGAAUAUGCAACUCUCUUCUAUUCCUGGCAAAUAGUGGGCCAAACACAAAUGGUUGUCAUGUUCUUUCUCUUUCUCUCUCUAGCUCACACAUACACACAGCCUACUACAUUUUGUGUUAGAUAUUCAAAAGUACUAUAUAUGUUGUUUGCAUGGGCAUAGGUCAGAAGCCUUUAAGGGACAGCAGCCCACAUUUCAAUCUUAUAAAUUGGAGGUUUGGUAUGCACAAUGUAUAUUUAAAUACAUGACUUUUUUUUUUUUUUUAAAAAAGUAUUA
rnacentral:misc_RNA from 1 species